UCUCGGCAACGGAUAUCUCGGCUCUCGCAUCCAUCGAGUCUUUGAACGCAGUUGCGCCCGAGGCCAUUCGGUAGAGGGCACGCCUGCCUGGGCGUCACGCAAAACACGCUC
rnacentral:rRNA from 1 species